GAUGAACGCUGGCGGCGUGCCUAAUACAUGCAAGUCGAGCGAACGGACGAGAAGCUUGCUUCUCUGAUGUUAGCGGCGGACGGGUGAGUAACACGUGGAUAACCUACCUAUAAGACUGGGAUAACUUCGGGAAACCGGAUCUAAUACCGGAUAAUAUUUUGAACCGCAUGGUUCAAAAGUGAAAGACGGUCUUGCUGUCACUUAUAGAUGGAUCCUCGCUGCAUUAGCUAGUUGGUAAGGUAACGGCUUACCAAGGCAACGAUGCAUAGCCGACCUGAGAGGGUGAUCGGCCACACUGGAACUGAGACACGGUCCAGACUCCUACGGGAGGCAGCAGUAGGGAAUCUUCCGCAAUGGGCGAAAGCCUGACGGAGCAACGCCGCGUGAGUGAUGAAGGUCUUCGGAUCGUAAAACUCUGUUAUUAGGGAAGAACAUAUGUGUAAGUAACUGUGCACAUCUUGACGGUACCUAAUCAGAAAGCCACGGCUAACUACGUG
rnacentral:rRNA from 1 species